CCUACGGGAGGCUGCAGUGGGGAAUAUUGCACAAUGGGGGAAACCCUGAUGCAGCAACGCCGCGUGGGUGAAGGAGCGUUUCGGCGCGUAAAGCUCUGUCAGCGGGGAAGAAGAAAGACGGUACCCGACCAAGAAGCCCCGGCUAACUACGUGCCAGCAGCCGCGGUAAUACGUAGGGGGCGAGCGUUAUCCGGAAUUACUGGGUGUAAAGGGGGGGUAGCCGGCGGGGUAAGUCUGAAGUGAAAGCCCGCGGCCCAACCGCGGAACUGCAUUUGGAACUGUUUUUCUGGAGUACUGGAGAGGUAAGCGGAAUUCCUGGUGUAGCGGUGAAAUGCGUAGAUAUUAGGAGGAACACCAGUGGCGAAGGCGGCUUACUGGACCGUAACUGACGUUGAGGCUCGAAAGCGUGGGGAGCGAACAGGAUUAGAUACCCGAGUAGUC
rnacentral:rRNA from 1 species